AUGCUUCCAUAAAAGGCGCAAGGGCUCCCUGAAUGGUUUGGUGAGUAUAAAAUGAUGCUAUGGUUUUCACAGUCGCCAGAUCUCAACCCGAUUGAACACCUAUUUUGGACUAACAUGUUGAGCUGCACAGGCAUUGAGUCUGUGCUGUAUUACCUGUAUGCCGUAUCGUUCCCUGACAGACGCCCUCAUGGCGAGAGAGGCCGGUGGUACACAGCCGAGACAGUCUAGCAGAGGCAGGCAGGGACACGCACCCACUGCACUGGUCACCUUACAGCACUCACACAGGCCAGUACUCCAUUGACCUGCCUCCUCAACCCUGCUCUCCGGCUGGACCUGGACCACCUGUCGAGACAUAGCUGAGCUGGCCAUCCACGUCCAUAAAAGACAGGAUUCUGAAAAGGCUUCAAAUCAAAUGAGAAGAUUUACACGAUCAAUGGAAUUUCACCAUAUGGCAUUGCUGCAUAUAAGUGAGUGAAACAGGAAAGGCCCAGUGGAGUAAAUCCGACCCCUAUGAAGCAAAACCCGUCUCCUCUUCCAUAAGGGCUACAGCUGACACAUGUGAUCAUACAGUGGAUUAACAAAGGUGACAUUCAUGGUAGGUAAGAAGGUAGCAC